AAAAGCAUACAAUUUUUUCGUUAAAGUAGGUUUUCAUCAUGGAAACUGAAAAUCUGAUGUUGAUGAUUAUGAUAACAUUUUUAAAGCAAGUAAGAACUCAGCCGAAGAGGUAUGCAGAAAUUACAAUAAAGAAAGUUAUGACUAUGUUUUAUAUUUAUCUUUACUAUCAAGAAUUGAAAAAUGAACACAAUCCAAGCCUAUGGGUAAGACCAAUUUUUUCCGAAGAGAGAAGAUUUUUGCAAAGUGCCAGCGAUAAUUUCGUCCCUGAAAUACAGUUGUCACAUAAUAAUACAUUUUUUAAUUAUUUCCGAAUGUCUGCAUCGAUGUUCAACAAAUUAUUGGAAAUAGUUGGCCCUAGCAUUGAAAAGCAAAAAGUAAUUUGAAAUCCAAUACCAGCUUGAACGAGAUUACAGAAACAUGUGAAGCGAUAUGGCAUGCUUUAAAAGAGGAGGUACUUUUUACUCCCAGUGAAAGAAAUUGGCGCAAGGUUGCAAAAGACUUUGAAAGGAUAUGUCAAUUUCCACAAUGUAUAGGAUCCAUUGAUGGAAAACACGUUGUCAUUCAGGCACCAUCUCGUAGUGGCUCAACAUUUUACAAUUAUAAAGGAAACCACAGCAUCAACUUACUUGCCAUAAGCAACGCUUUGAUCCUUGUUGUUGACAUUGGAGCUCAAGAGAGACAAAGUGAUGGAGGUGUGUUUGACAACAGUGGAUUGCCUUAUUUAUUUCAGUCAAAUGCAUUGUUCAUUCCUCCACCUGCGCGUAUUAGUUUUACUGAUAAGAAGUUCCCGUUUGUACUAAUAGGAGACGAAGGUUUUCCAUUAAAUACAUAUAUGAUGAGAUCGUACCUUUGAAGUCGUAAUUUAAAUACAACCAAAAAAAUUUUUUAAUUACCGUCUCAGCCGAGCUAGGAGAACAGUAGAAUGCGCUUUCGGAAUUUUAACUGGGCGAUGGAGAAUUUACCGUUAACCUAUCAUUGCGUCUACUUCUACCGUCAUUAAAGCUGUGCAGGCAACAAUUGUUUUACAUAACUUCAUCAUCAAUGAGGAAAUGCACUUGUUGGCGCGAGAUAGAAUAUAUAGUAGAAAUGAAGAUUUUCUUAACGAGCUUAAUACCAGUAGUGAACUCAUACCUAUAAGUGACAAUAAUGGAUCACAAAACUUGAGAGCAGUCAAAAUUCGAGAUGACUUUGCCUAUUAUUUUGAGCAUAUCUCUCCAUUGCCUUAGCAAUGGGAGAAAGCUUUGU